rnacentral:ribozyme from 13 species
AAAGAAAAAGAAAAAGAAAAAGAAAAAGAAACAACAUUUACGCACUUAAGAACCCACUAUGAUGACGCUCUUCUCCUCUUCUCUUUCCUUCUUUCUCUCUUCCCUUCCUCUCUCUCUCUCUCUUCCUCUGUACCGACCUUCCCUCUUCCUCUCUCUCUUCUCCAACAUGCUUAUCAUAUCUGGAAACACUGGAUCGCCCAGGACGUUAAAUUACACCCUUCAAAGAUUGGUUAUGAUGUUGCAUUUUCUCCUUUUGGAACUCAAAAUAAAAAGUUAAAAUAU